AUUGAACGCUGGCGGCAGGCCUAACACAUGCAAGUCGAGCGGCAGCGGAAAGUAGCUUGCUACUUUGCCGGCGAGCGGCGGACGGGUGAGUAAUGUCUGGGAAACUGCCUGAUGGAGGGGGAUAACCACUGGAAACGGUAGCUAAUACCGCAUGACCUCGAAAGAGCAAAGUGGGGGAUCUUCGGACCUCACGCCAUCGGAUGUGCCCAGAUGGGAUUAGCUAGUAGGUGAGGUAAUGGCUCACCUAGGCGACGAUCCCUAGCUGGUCUGAGAGGAUGACCAGCCACACUGGAACUGAGACACGGUCCAGACUCCUACGGGAGGCAGCAGUGGGGAAUAUUGCACAAUGGGCGCAAGCCUGAUGCAGCCAUGCCGCGUGUGUGAAGAAGGCCUUAGGGUUGUAAAGCACUUUCAGCGAGGAGGAAGGCACCAUACUUAAUACGUGUGGUGAUUGACGUUACUCGCAGAAGAAGCACCGGCUAACUCCGUGCCAGCAGCCGCGGUAAUACGGAGGGUGCAAGCGUUAAUCGGAAUUACUGGGCGUAAAGCGCACGCAGGCGGUUUGUUAAGUCAGAUGUGAAAUCCCCGCGCUUAACGUGGGAACUGCAUUUGAAACUGGCAAGCUAGAGUCUUGUAGAGGGGGGUAGAAUUCCAGGUGUAGCGGUGAAAUGCGUAGAGAUCUGGAGGAAUACCGGUGGCGAAGGCGGCCCCCUGGACAAAGACUGACGCUCAGGUGCGAAAGCGUGGGGAGCAAACAGG
rnacentral:rRNA from 1 species